AGAGUUUGAUCAUGGCUCAGAGCGAACGCUGGCGGCAUGCCUAACACAUGCAAGUCGCACGGGUGGGGAAACCCAUCAGUGGCGGACGGGUGAGUAUCGCGUAGGUAUCUGUCCCGGGAUGGGGGAUAACCGUGGGAAACUACGGCUAAUACCGCAUGAAGCCUGAGGGCCAAAGACGCAAGUCGUCUUGGGAGGAGCCUGCGUCCGAUGAGCUUGUUGGUGGGGUAACGGCCUACCAAGGCUGCGAUCGGUAGCUGGUCUGAGAGGAUGAGCAGCCACACUGGGACUGAGACACGGCCCAGACUCCUACGGGAGGCAGCAGUGGGGAAUAUUGGACAAUGGGCGCAAGCCUGAUCCAGCAAUGCCGCGUGGGUGAAGAAGGUCUUCGGAUUGUAAAGCCCUUUCGGCGGGGACGAUGAUGACGGUACCCGCAGAAGAAGCCCCGGCUAAGUUCGUGCCAGCAGCCGCGGUAAUUC
rnacentral:rRNA from 1 species